UACGUAGGGGGCAAGCGUUGUCCGGAAUUACUGGGCGUAAAGAGCUCGUAGGUGGUUUGUCGCGUUGUUCGUGAAAACUCACAGCUUAACUGUGGGCGUGCGGGCGAUACGGGCAGACUGGAGUACUGCAGGGGAGACUGGAAUUCCUGGUGUAGCGGUGAAAUGCGCAGAUAUCAGGAGGAACACCGGUGGCGAAGGCGGGUCUCUGGGCCGUAACUGACGCUGAGGAGCGAAAGCGUGGGGAGCGAACAGG
rnacentral:rRNA from 1 species